GACGAACGCUGGCGGCGUGCUUAACACAUGCCAGUCGAACGGAAAGGCCCUGCUUUUGUGGGGUUCUCGAGUGGCGAGCGGGUGAGUAACACGUGAGUAACCUGCCCUUGACUUUGGGAUAACUUCACGAAACUGGGGCUCAUACCGGAUAUGAUCUCCUGCUGCAUGUUGUGGGUUGGAAAGUUUCGGCGGUUGGGGAUGGACUCGCGGCUUAUCAGCUUGUUGGUGGGGUAGUGGCUUACCAAGGCUUUGACGGGUAGCCUGCCUGAGAGGGUGACCGGCCACAUUGGGACUGAGAGAAGGCCCAGACUGCUACGGGAGGCAGCAGGGGGGAAUAUUGCACAAUGGGCGGAAGCCAGAUGCAGCAACGCCGCGUGCGGGAUGACGGCCUUCGGGGGGUAAACCGCUUUCGCCUGUGACGAAGCGUGAGUGACGGUAAUGGGUAAAGAAGCACCGGCUAACUACGUG
rnacentral:rRNA from 1 species